rnacentral:misc_RNA from 1 species
UUUCUGACUGCUUUCUGGCAUCAUGUAUACCUCACCGAGAUGUUCAAAGACAUAUGGAAAAGAGAGAUGCCAUUUCUCAUUCAAAGCAACACCUAGUUGCUGCCAUGUUGCUCCAUUAUCCACACUCUUUGCAACACCUAUAUCUCCUUGUAAGGAUAUCGAGUUCUUGGUUUCAUAAAAUAAGUAAAUAGUAUCUCCCUGAACAAAAAGAAA